AGCUUUGCACAGUGGCAGUAUCAUAAGCCAAUGAGGUUUAUCCAAGGCGCGAUUAUUGCUAAUUGAAAACUUUUCCCAAUACCCCGCCAUGACAACUUGCAAUACAGUCAACACUGGCAAUUUUAUACAAAUUGUUUAGAUU
rnacentral:snRNA from 1 species